AUUGAACGCUGGCGGCAGGCCUAACACAUGCAAGUCGAACGAGUGGCGGACGGGUGAGUAAUGUCUGGGAAACUGCCUGAUGGAGGGGGAUAACUACUGGAAACGGUAGCUAAGACCGAAUACUAUCAGAUGGGCCCAGAUGGGAUUAGCGAGUUGGUGGGGUAACGGCUCACCAAGGCGACGAGCCCUAGCUGGUCUGAGAGGAUGACCGUCCACACUGGAACUGGGACACGGUCCAGACUCCUACGGUAGGCAGCAGUGGGGAAUAUUGCACAAUGGGCGCAAGCCGGCUGCAGCCAUUCCGCGUGUAUGAAGAAGGCCUUCGGGUUGUAAAGUACUUUCAGCGGGGAGGCGUUACCCGCAGAAGAAGCACCGGCUAACUCCGUGCCAGCAGCCGCGGUAAUUC
rnacentral:rRNA from 1 species